ACCAAGGAAUCUUGUUAAAAUGCAGAUUCUGAUUUAGUAGGCAGGGACUAACAUUCUGCAUUUCUAACAAGCUCCUAGGUGGU
rnacentral:miRNA from 1 species